UACGGGGGGGGCAAGCGUUGUUCGGAAUUACUGGGCGUAAAGGGCUCGUAGGCGGCCAACUAAGUCGGACGUGAAAUCCCCAGGCUCAACCUGGGAACUGCGUCCGAUACUGGAUGGCUUGAAUUCGGGAGAGGGAUGCAGAAUUCCAGGUGUAGCGGUGAAAUGCGUAGAUAUCUGGAGGAAUACCGGUGGCGAAGGCGGCAUCCUGGGCCGACACUGACACUGAGGAGCGAAAGCCAGGGGAGCAAACGGG
rnacentral:rRNA from 1 species